rnacentral:tRNA from 1 species
ACUGAAGAUGCUAAGAUGAAAAAUGACAAUUUUCCGCAGGCA